rnacentral:rRNA from 1 species
GGAAUUGACGGGGACCCGCACAAGCAGCGGAGCAUGUGGUUUAAUCGAAGCAACGCGAAGAACCUUACCAGGUCUUGACAUCCCUCUGAAUGGCGCUUAGCAGCGCAGGUCUUUCGGGACAGAGGAGACAGGUGGUGCAUGGUUGUCGUCAGCUCGUGUCGUGAGAUGUUGGGUUAAGUCCCGCAACGAGCGCAACCCUUGCCUUUAGUUGCCAGCACGUUAAGGUGGGCACUCUAGAGGGACUGCCGGUGACAAACCGGAGGAAGGUGGGGAUGACGUCAAAUCAUCAUGCCCCUUAUGAUCUGGGCUACACACGUGCUACAAUGGCCGGUACAACGAGAAGCGAAACCGCGAGGUGAAGCAAAUCUUUUAAAGCCGGUCCCAGUUCGGAUUGCAGGCUGAAACUCGCCUGCAUGAAGUUGGAGUUGCUAGUAAUCGCGGAUCAGCAUGCCGUGGUGAAUGCGUUCCCGGGUCUU